rnacentral:rRNA from 1 species
UACGUAGGUGACAAGCGUUGUCCGGAUUUACUGGGCGUAAAGAGCGCGCAGGCGGUCGUUCAAGUCGAGUGUGAAAGCCCCCGGCUCAACUGGGGAGGGUCACUCGAUACUGAUCGACUCGAAGGCAGGAGAGGGUAGUGGAAUUCCCGGUGUAGUGGUGAAAUGCGUAGAGAUCGGGAGGAACAUCCGUGGCGAAGGCGGCUCUCUGGGACGGUACUGACGCUGAGACGCGAAAGCGCGGGGAGCGAACAGG